UACAUUUAUAUAUUUGUAACAUGAACACAAAUACAAACAAUACUUGGUGGUGGAACAAUUUACGUCAAACGUCGUGAACUAAGCUCCUAUGGUAUUAUCCACUAUAAAUAUAAAAGGCUUGUC
rfam:Flavobacterium frigoris strain DSM 15719 genome assembly, contig: Ga0131223_104